AAACAACUACAACUUUAUUAAUACAACAUAAAAAUUGUGAGUUUAAAUACAAAUAUUGUCAUCUAGACAAUAUCCACACUCAAAUAAGUCCUCAUUAUAAUUAUUGAUACAUUAUUUGACAAAAAUGGUGAGGACUACUAAAACGACUUUUUAGAACCUUCAUUCCAUACUCCGACUAGUACUCGUUACAUUCUCGCCUCCUGAGAAAAAAAAUGGAACAAAAAGAAAAAGGGUGAGCUCAACUAGCCCAGUAAAGAAUAUUACGACUAAGAUAAUAUAGAACAAAUUAUCGUUAGUCUUCAACAGAGAAAAAUCUAAUAGAAUACAAUAGCCAACAAGUUUUAAAUCAAUAUUCGUAGCGGAAAUAAUAAUUCAUUAGAAGAGUUAAAUAGAGAAUAAAAUCUACUAUCUUCUAUAUAUGAAUUUAAAAGCCUAUCGUCAAUAUUUUAUCCAUGUAACAUCAAUCAACAUAUAUCUGGAAUCAAAUAUUCAUCUUUGCACUACAGACCAAAGAUAUUCAUCAGUUGGUCAUGUUUAUCUAAACACCUGUUCAUCUUUGCACUACGGGCCAAAGAUAUUCAUCAGAAAUCAUUCAUCUUUGCACUACAGGCCAAAUAUAUUCAGUAAUAUCAUCAUUUAGGACUGAGG
rnacentral:lncRNA from 1 species